rnacentral:rRNA from 1 species
ACUCCUACGGGAGGCAGCAGUGGGGAAUUUUGGACAAUGGGGGCAACCCUGAUCCAGCCAUUCCGCGUGAGUGAAGAAGGCCUUCGGGUUGUAAAGCUCUUUCAGCUGGAGCGAAACGGUACGCUCUAACAUAGCGUGCUAAUGACGGUACCAGCAGAAGAAGCACCGGCUAACUACGUGCCAGCAGCCGCGGUAAUACGUAGGGUGCGAGCGUUAAUCGGAAUUACUGGGCGUAAAGCGUGCGCAGGCGGAUUGUUAAGCAAGACGUGAAAUCCCCGGGCUUAACCUGGGAAUGGCGUUUUGAACUGGCAGUCUAGAGUGCGUCAGAGGGGGGUGGAAUUCCACGUGUAGCAGUGAAAUGCGUAGAGAUGUGGAGGAACACCGAUGGCGAAGGCAGCCCCCUGGGAUGACACUGACGCUCAUGUACGAAAGCGUGGGUAGCAAACAGGAUUAGAUACCCUGGUAGUC